GUUAGAUAAUCACGUAGCAAGAAGUACUUCAAUUAGUGAUACACAAUUCGAACUUCGUUCAUAUAAAAAUUAAUUUAGUUUUAUCACUAUAGUGAGGACAGAGAGAAUGAAUAUAUCAUUACUUAUCCUUCUUGUGGCCUCAAGCGUAUAUUCCACACCAGAUUCCCUACCAUUUCCUGAAGGGUUUUUGUUUGGUGUAUCAACUGCCGCGUAUCAAGUAGAAGGUUCACUGAUGAUGGACUGAUAAGUCCGAAAACGUUUUGAACGUAAUCCGUUUGGAUUUUUAAAAAAAAUUUUUAUAAUUUUUAUUAAAUAUACCAACUACACUAGGGAGUUUUACUUCAUGUUAAUUUUUUAAUUAUAUUUCCCGCAACGCGACGUGUCCGCUGUUUCAAUUCCGUUACAUCCUCAUUCAGUAACUUAGCCACAGUCAAUUAGUGGUUUAAUCAUUUAGUUACCUUACCUCACGUGAAGUAUAUACCAGCAAUAUUAUUAGCAACUUUGUCAUGGUUCACUCAUAGAGUGUGCUGUUUUUGUUGAAGAAAACCACUAUCUGAGUUGACAACAUCCAGGAUUCUCCAAUAAGACUUACCCACCACAGCAGCCAACUAGCUUUGUUGUGCCAAAAGGAUUUUUCCUAAGGACUUUCAUUUUUUUUAACCAUCGGCUGUUGUACAAGAUAAGUUCUUAUUUAUUUUAAUUAUUUACUUUAGGUAAUCUAGAUUUGUUACUCUGUAAACUAAUUGUAUAUAUACAAAUAGGUGAACUAAGUGGUACAUAUUUUCGUGAUAGAUAGGUUUUAGGUCGUUGUUUUUCUUUCUUUGGUUCUAUAUAAUUAGUAAUUUGCUUAAAUAAAUCAAAUCAGGUCUUCCUUUUUAAUAAUAACUAUAAAUCAUUGUAUCUUAAAAUUUAAUAGGGAAUCGGGGGUAAAAUUUUGUCGAGGUUUUAAAAUAGGGAAUAUGUCUUGUAGGUUUUUACAUUGUAUAUAGAGUCACUGACCCACUCAUUUAUAUAACUAAUUUUGCUAGGUGAGAUACAUUUUUUUUGCAACCUAGCUGUUAUUGUAGUGUACCUAUCUCACUCUAGGCUAGUUCAAUUUAGGAAAUAAUUACUAACUUUUUAGUUGUAAGGACUUAGUGCUAUUCUGACGGACUUUUGAUUUGGAUUUUGAUUUUAAUACCUUUGCUUGGCCAGUGAUAGUGGAUAAUUGCUUGUUAAGUGGCCUUUGCGGUCUUAUUUGAUUUUUCCCCAUCCACUAUCACUGUUAUUACGUUGCGUUAUAUGUAAAUUGUUAAUAUUUAACAUUUAUUAUUAAUAUAUUUGUAUGUAUUAA